rnacentral:rRNA from 1 species
GACGAACGCUGGCGGCGUGCUUCAUACAUGCAAGUCGAACGAGGUCCAUCCAGUAGCAAUACUGGUGAAGAUCUAGUGGCGAACGGGUGAGUAACACGUGAGGAACCUGCCCCGAAGACCGGGAUAACAGCGGGAAACCGCUGCUAAUACCGGAUACCCCCACCGGACCGCAUGGUCUGGUGAGGAAAAGGAUUCUGCUUCGGGAGGGCCUCGCGGCCUAUCAGCUAGUUGGUGGGGUAACGGCCUACCAAGGCGACGACGGGUAGCUGGUCUGAGA